GAGGGUAUAGCUCAGUGGUAGAGUGCUUGCCUAGCAUACAUGAGGUCCUGGGUUCAGUCCCCAGUAACACCA
rnacentral:tRNA from 1 species